CUACAGAGGGUGCAAGCGUUAUUCGGAAUUACUGGGCGUAAAGCGCGCGUAGGCGGAUGAUUAAGUCAGUUGUGAAAGCCCUGGGCUCAACCUAGGAACUGCAUCUGAUACUGGUCGUCUAGAGUUUAAGGGAGGGAAGUGGAAUUCCAGGUGUAGCAGUGAAAUGCGUAGAUAUCUGGAGGAACAUCAGUGGCGAAGGCGACUUCCUGGCUUAAAACUGACGCUGAGGUGCGAAAGCGUGGGUAGCGAACGGGAUUAGAAACCCUUGUAGUCC
rnacentral:rRNA from 1 species